rfam:Ruminococcus sp. CAG:9 genomic scaffold, scf67
UAUAAACAAUAUAAGUAAACUUAUAUAUGUCCAUAAUCGGUUGGACGUUUCUACCAACUACCGUAAUAGUUGUCUAUAAGUUCUCUCCCCAGGGAG